GGGAGAUGGCUCAGUGGGUAAGAGUGCUUGUUCUGAAAGCAUGAGGACCUGAGUUCAAAUCCUCAGUACCCA
rnacentral:tRNA from 1 species